UUGAGUCCAAUUUAGAGACCUGUGAUUGAAAGCUGAACAAAGUUUGAAUUCUAAAAUUUCUGGCCCAACGUGAGGAAAUAUAGACCAAUAGGAAUCGUGGGUUUUGAGAUGUUUUCGGUGCUUUUUGCUGCACAAGAAACGGGGUAAGUGAUCGAUACCCAAAGUUAUUAGAACCGUCUCGCAAAACGGUGCUCUACUUUUCAGGUGCGUAUAUUUUCCUUCUCUUUUUCCAUCUUCCGAAACCCUAUAUAUCAUCUCUUUCUUCUCCGGUAUUCUGUUCUAUCACUCUAUCUUCGGUCUUCAGUGGUUUCUACAUUUCUUCAAUCCGUCUCCUCUAACGGGGUUUAAUGCUCGACUGAAAAUUUUGAUUUGCAUUUCUUUUUGUUUAAGUGUUUAAUGGGUUCUCACAUAAUGGAAUCACAAGAUAUUUAUCAAUUGCGUAGGGAGGUUUGAACUACUAUAGGGACUGCUAAAUGGCAUGUGAGUUUAUCUUUGUAACUGUCACUCUCAACUCUCAAUACAAAGUUGUUGUAAUUGAUUUGUUAAUUUAGAUUAUUUCUUUUGAUGAAACCGAUGGAGUCCCCGGUUCUGUUAAGUCAUAGAUUUUGAAUCAAGGACAAUGCAACAAUCAGGCGUGUGUAGUUUAUUAGUAUGAACAAAUAGCUCAAGUUGAAGAGGAAGGGAAUGAUCCCUUGGGUGGCGAAUUUACUGCCACUCCUGAUCGUGGAAGACUGAUCUUUGAAAAGACCAAUGAAAAUAAAAGAUGAAAGGGAACUUUUGUUGCCAAACACCAUUACGUUAAGAUAAUUAAUUAUAUAAUAUAAUGUCAUCACGAUCCAUCUCUUUUUUGUUUGCAGCAGAUCUCAUAUUAGUAUAACUCUGCUUUUAAUAGGCGAGCUUUUAGUAUUUGGAGUAAUACACAGCAGUACCUUUAACAAUGUUUUCAGAGUUCAACUGAAUCUUCUGAGAAUGAGCAAUCAUGCAGUGUAUCGGUGCUAGAUCACUUGAUGAAUGAAUAACGAACAAGCUUUGCCGUAACAUUAUAAGACAUUGAUUCUCCUUGACCUGGAUGGAGCCUUAAACAAAUGCUGGUGUCAAACCUGGCGAAAAAUAUUACUAUAAGUGCGGUGAUAAUUCUUUAUCAGCAAUGAUCAAAGAGCAUACAUUUAAAAUUCUACCCUUACUGUUGCAAUGCAAUUAUCACAGACAAAUAGCAGUGGUUGGAGACUUUAGAUUACAAGCAAUUUGACAACAACUAUUGGUCAAGUAUGAUCCUCUAAUAUUUUUGAUGCUUUGAGACUUAAGUUAUGCAAAGCAGUAUCAUACAACUUCCAGAGAAGGAAUUCCUAUGUUUUAAUGGUGUUGAAAUUUCCAGAAGCUCUAACUGCUGUCAAUAUUCCUAGCUAAGUGUUGCGGAUUCGGCGGACUUGCCUGAAGCAAAUAUGCUCAGUUCGUUUUGGCUGAGGUACAAACAUCAAUUAAAUGCAUGAGAGUGUGGUUGGAACUUCACACCCUUAUGCCUCUAAGUGACCUAUUUGAUCCUGGUGAAGAUGAGGUUGUUGAUCGUAUUAAUUGCGGACUACUGGAGUUACGAUUUGUAUGGUAUCCACAAUUCCAUAUCCUUAGUACCCAACUUCACAGUAUUUCCAAAACAUGCAUAUUUUUUUUAUUUUUGUCUGAGUACUCAAUGUAUGAUCAUAUCAUCAACGGUUGGGCAAUUUUAAUGUAAGCUACGACAUUGGAAAAUUUUAAUAUAAGUACUCAG